UACAGAGGUCUCAAGCGUUGUUCGGAUUCAUUGGGCGUAAAGGGUGCGUAGGCGGCGCGGUAAGUCAGGUGUGAAAUCUUGGAGCUUAACUCCGAAACUGCAUUCGAUACUGCCGUGCUUGAGGACUGGAGAGGAGACUGGAAUUUACGGUGUAGCGGUGAAAUGCGUAGAUAUCUGGAGGAACACCGGUGGCGAAGGCGGCAUCCUGGACCAAUACUGACACUGAGGAGCGAAAGCCAGGGGAGCAAACGGG
rnacentral:rRNA from 1 species